rnacentral:rRNA from 1 species
CCUACGGGUGGCAGCAGUGGGGAAUAUUGGACAAUGGGCGAAAGCCUGAUCCAGCCAUGCCGCGUGUGUGAAGAAGGCCUUCGGGUUGUAAAGCACUUUCAGUGGGGAAGAAAGCCUUGGGGCUAAUACCCUCGAGGAAGGACAUCACCCACAGAAGAAGCACCGGCUAACUCCGUGCCAGCAGCCGCGGUAAUACUGAGGGUGCGAGCGUUAAUCGGAAUUACUGGGCGUAAAGCGCGCGUAGGCGGUCUGAUAAGCCGGUUGUGAAAGCCCCGGGCUCAACCUGGGAACGGCAUCCGGAACUGUCAGGCUAGAGUGCAGGAGAGGAAGGUAGAAUUCCCGGUGUAGCGGUGAAAUGCGUAGAGAUCGGGAGGAAUACCAGUGGCGAAGGCGGCCUUCUGGACUGACACUGACGCUGAGGUGCGAAAGCGUGGGUAGCAAACAGGAUUAGAUACCCCAGUAGUC